rnacentral:rRNA from 1 species
GAUGAACGCUAGCGGCAGGCCUAAUACAUGCAAGUCGAACGGUUCCUAGCAAUAGGAAUAGUGGCGCACGGGUGCGUAACGCGUAACCAACCUGCCCUUGACUGGGGGAUAGCCCGCCGAAAGGCGGAUUAAUACCGCAUAAACUCACAGUGUGGCAUCACACAAUGAGUAAAGAUUUAUUGGUCAAGGAUGGGGUUGCGUGCCAUUAGCUAGUUGGCGGGGUAACGGCCCACCAAGGCG